GAAAUGCGAUAAGUAAUGUGAAUUGCAGAAUUCAGUGAAUCAUCGAAUCUUUGAACGCACAUUGCGCCCCCUGGUAUUCCGGGGGGCAUGCCUGUUCGAGCGUCAUUUCACCACUCAAGCCUCGCUUGGUAUUGGGCGACGCGGUCCGCCGCGCGCCUCAAAUCGACCGGCUGGGUCUUUCGUCCCCUCAGCGUUGUGGAAACUAUUCGCUAAAGGGUGCCGCGGGAGGCCACGCCGUAAAACAACCCCAUUUCUAAGGUUGACCUCGGAUCGGGUAGGGAUACCCGCUGAACUUAGGC
rnacentral:misc_RNA from 1 species